AUAAAUCCUGCAAGAUCAUGGAAAGAUCUUGCAUGAUCUUGCAAGAUCUUUCCAAGUUCUUGCAGGAUCUUACCUAAGAUCUUGCAGGAUCUUGCAAGAUCUUUCCAUGUUCUUGCAGGAUCUUACCUAAGAUCUUGCAAGAUCUUGCCAUUAUCAUGGCAAGAUCUUGCCAUUAUCAUGGCAAGAUCUUGCAGGAUUUGUACCAAGAUCAUGCCAAGAUCUUACAUAAAUCCUGCAAGAUCAUGGAAAGAUCUUGCAUGAUCUUGCAAGAUCUUUC
rnacentral:sRNA from 1 species